rnacentral:rRNA from 1 species
CAUGUAGGCGGCAUGACAAGUCUGGUGUGAAAUAUCUCGGCUCAACCGAGAAAACGCACUGGAAACUAUCAAGCUCGAGUAUCGGAGGGGAAGCUAGAAUUCCUGGUGUAGGGGUGAAAUCUGUAGAUAUCAGGAAGAAUACCGGUGGCGAAGGCGAGCUUCUGGCCAGAUACUGACGCUGAGAUGCGAAAGCGUGGGGAGCGAACAGGAUUAGAUACCCUGGUAGUC